UAAUUUAACUAACUUCUUCAAAUAUCAUUUUUAAUUUCAAUCAGUUGUGAUUCUCUUCCACAAAACGAAAAUUUCUAACACUGCAAAUUACCUGUGGUGGAAACCAUGAUAUGUGUGUGCCUUUCGCUUGAAUUCAGACAUGGACUUGGAUGUCUUUGAUAUAAGAUUGUUGAUGAAUGGAGGUCAUGGAUUUCUAAUGAUCAAGUUGCUGGUAAACCCACCAUCUCCUUUACAGAUUUUUUUUGGCUGCUACUACAGCCUUAACUCGAGAGCUCAGUCCUAAAAUUGAGGUUAGAACUAAAACUAAUUGGUUCCAUACUACAAUGCUUAAGAAUCUUUAUCUAUUUUUAUUUUUGUGCUCAAUGACCUUUUAAAAUGCUAUCAUUUCUCUUGUAGGUACUUGCAAGGAUAUGAUUACAACUUCACCUUUCUAACCAUAAAGGUAUAAGCAAUUCUUUUUUGCUUAAUUAUUAUAUUUUUAAUAAUAAUGAAAAUAAUGAUUAUAAACCAGUGUGCUUUAAUUGAGAAUUGAUUUAACAAUUAGACUACACUAUAAAUGCAGGGUGCCGGAUAUACAGUCCCAGAGUACAAGGUAAGAGAAUCACUAGAGUUCUACCGCUGUUGGUUGGAUGAAAUGUAACUAAAAUUAUACACAACAGAAAAUGUUAUGGGAAUUGAGGGAAAGGCAAACAUCCUCUUUGUCAAUAUAGUAUAUAACGGAUAUAUUUUAGUGUUGGAACACCAUUUGAGUUAUUUACAUGGUGCAUUUUGCGAUACAUUUGUGUGGUGUUAUGAAUGUGAAACGCAUUGUUUCUUACUGUUUGAGAUGUUAGUUAAGUUAGGCAAGAAAAGUUGUUUUGGCUGUUGCUUUUCUCCUUUCAGCAGUAUAUUGUUUAGUUUGUGAAAGUGUUAUAUUUGGUUGCAGAGAAAUAAAGUGGUUUACUGGAGAUUUUGGAACCAAAGGGACAUUUAUACUUUUUGGAGGGCAAAUUCAAAGCGGCAAUAUAAUGAUUUAUUUGGCUUUAAAGAGAGAUAAAUCAAUGUCAAUCAGACUAUGAGUCCUACUAGAGGUUCUUAUACCCCACUUCUGAUUAGAUUGAUAGGAGAAUGAGAGAUAGCUGAGUUUCAAGAGGUGAUUUGUUCAGAAAUCACAGAGGCAACCAGUUACAAGAUUUUGGAGUCGCUUUUAUCAAAAUAUCAGUUUUAGAGCUACUCAUACAAAACUAAAUAUAAAAGGAAGUUUAUUGUUAGCAAACUGAUAUAUUUUUCUAUGCUACAAAAUCUCAGUAUCAUGCAAUAUAUCGUUUUAAUGGUUCAAGCGAGAUAGUGGGCAACAUGCUAAAAGGAAAAAUUAUAAUUCUGAUACUUUUGUCAACAAAUUUUACUAACAAAUUUUAUCAAUGUACAUUAGUAAUUUUAACAGAUUUAUUAACGAAUUUGGAAAUCUUUUGAUAAUUAAAUAUAAAAAGUUGUGUAAACAUUCACUAGAUCCGUUAGUAAAUCACUAACAAUUUUAAUAUGUUAGUAAAUUUUGAGGUGUAAAUGAAAUAAAUUGUUUGUGAGCUAUUCGAGAUUCCAUGAGAUAAAAAUUCGUCCAAAUUUGACUCGAUUUCUAAACGAAUCAAAUUCAAACUUAAUUUUUAGGCUUGUUUAGUAAAUGAGACAAACUGAAACUCCAUAGUAUUCGUCUCGUCAAGGUUCGCGAGUUCGGCUGGUGUUCAAGUUCAUGAGCAGGCUGGCGAAUGGACUCCUGAAUAGUCUCGUUAAGAAGGCUGAGAUUAAUAUCAUAAGAGAAAUAAAUUUAAAUUCUACAUAUAUUUUCAUGAGUCAAAUCUAAAUUUUAUAAAGUUCAAUUCUAUAUUGUUUAAUUAUACUAUUAUAACUUGUAUAUAUUUGGAUUGUUAAGAGCUCAUCUUUAUAAGUUUAGGAGCUAAUUUGUAUAUAUACUUAUUUAGUUAAAAUUAUUUAGUUUUAAACUAAUUAAUUUUAAAUGAAAAUUCAUUAUACAUGUAAAUAAAUUGAAUUAUUGGUGAAUUAUUCGAGAUUAAACUCGAUAAAAACUUAACUCGUCUAAGUUUAUUUGCUAAAGGAGUCAAGUUUGAACUUAUUAAUACUCGGUUCAAAUUCGAAAUGAGUAAAACUCGAAUUCGACUCGAACUUAAAAAAAUUUUAACGAAUUAAAUUUAAACUUUUCAAAAUUCAGCUCUACUCGAUUCAUUUACACCCUAAGUAAAUUUUAAAAAGUCUUUAAAUUACUAAUAAAUUCUAAAUCCAUAGAUAAUUUGUCCAAAAAAUUAUUAACGGAUUUGAAAAUUCAUUAUUAAACUUUAUCAUCAAAUUAAUAAAUAAAGAAAAAAUAUUGAAUUUAUCAACGGAUGCUAUCUGCGGAUAAAUUCAUUAAUAAAUUUAAAAUAAAAUUUUACAAACAAUUUUUGCAUUUUUUUUUGCAAUUCACAUUUUCCGGUUACCAAUAAAUUUACUAACAUAUUUCAAAUCCAUGGGUGAUUUUCAAAGAGAAAAAGAUUGCUUUUCUUAAAAAAAAAAAAUUAGUAACGAAUUGCAAAUUCAUUAGUAAUUCACGUUUAUAAAUAUAACACUGCUUUUAUCAUUCAUUCAUCUUAUAAUCUACAUUUCUUCCAUUUUUUUCUUUCUCUCAUUUUCUUUCUUUUUUCUCUUACUUUCUUUCAUUUCAUUUUUUCAUCUCAUAAGUUUUUUUUCUUAUUUUUUAUAUUCUUUUUCUUUUAUCUCUUAUCCUAUUUUCUCGCAUCUUCUUUUCUCUUCUAUUAUUUUUUUCAUUCUUCAUAAUUUUCCUUUCAUUUUCUCCCAACUCUUUUCCAUCUUUUUCUUUCCUUUCCUUUUAUCUUCUUUGUUUUCUAUAUACUUUUCAUUCAUGUUAGUUUUUUAAUUUUAUUUUCUUUUAUCAUUUCUUUCUAUCUACAUUUUUUCUAUUAUUUUCUCUUUAUUUAUUUUCUUCUCUAAUUAUUUGUUCAUUUUUUUCAUUUUUCUAAUCAUCUUUUUACUCGACUCUCACUCUUUCUUCUUUUUCAUAAUUUUUAUUUUUCUAUUAUUUUCUUUAUUUUUCUUUUUUUUCUUUCUUUUUAUUAUUUUCUCUCAUUUUAUACCAUUUAUUUUUUUUAUUUUUACUUUUUAAGAUAUAAAUUAAAAAUUUAGUAACAACAAUAAUAUAAUUUUAAGUCUUAUUAAAUUAAUAAAAAAUUAUUUAAACUCUCAAUAGAUUUAUUAAUGGAUUGCAAUUCGUUGAUAAUUUACUAACAGAUUUUACAUCUGUUAAUAAAUUAUUUUUCUUUUAUACUAACAGAUUUAAAGUUUGUUAAUAAUUUAAAAUCAGUUAGCAAUUUAAAAUCUGUUGGUAAUAAUAAUGAAAAUUCCGUUAAUAAAUCCACUAGUAUUAUUAAUGAAAUUAAAAGUCGUUGGUAAAAAUUUACCAUCGAACUUUUUAACAACAGAUCGUAAUCUGUUAGUAAUCCAUUAUUAAUUCAUUUACCAAUAAAUUUUUAUUGGAUUGCCAAUGGAAAAAUCACUGUAUUAUCAAUACAAAUUAAGAAAUUGUUGAUUCAUAUCUUUACAAUAAGAUGUCUUUUAAACUCUUAAGACUUUUGAAGCUAAAAUUGAAGAAACAUUCAUGAUAUUGUAUUUCUCCUUUGGUUGAAACUGUUAUUCAUGCAAGAUGAUUUUCUCUGUUAUAACACUUUGAAAUAAUGUCUAUUAUUGGAAUGCAUAUAACUAUUUGACCGAUAUAAAAUAGGUAUAAUGAGUAUAUAGUUAUCUAUCAGUUUGUGUCAUUUAAUUUUACUGUCUGUUUAUAAAUAUAUUUACAUUCAUUUAAUUUUAAUAUCACAUUGGUAAAUUAUAAGAGAUGAAGAGUUAUCAUUUCCUAUAAAAAGAGAAGGUCUCUCCUCCGUACAAUAUUAGUACCUGGUUUUUAUUAUAUUAUGAUAUUCUUAUAUAGGGCCAUCAGAAAAUUUAGAUAUUUUUAUUUAAUUUUAUUUUAAAACUAUUUCUAAGCUCUAACUAAUAAUUCAGCUUGAAUGCAAGCUCACCACGAGCCACGCUCGAAUCAAGUUCAAGUUAAAGUUCGUUAAAUAUUUCAUGAAUCGAAUUCGAACUUGUAAAAAUUUUUUUAAAAGCAAGCUUGAACUUUAGAAAUGUUGGCUCGACUCAAUUAUCUCUAACCAUUUGAAUUACAAAUAAAUUCAUUAAUAGAUUAAUUGUAUGUAUCAUUAAUAGAUUUAUAAACGGAUAAAUCAUUUGAAUUACAAACAAAUUUAUAAAUAGAUUAACCAUUUGUAUCAUAAAUGGAUUUAUAAGGUUUAUAUUAUAAAUGGAUUUACAAAAAGAUUAUCCGUUUAUAUGUGAAAUUUCAUUUCUAAAUAAUAGGGAAUAUGUGAAUGAAAAAUAUAAACGAAUAUCAAAUUUGUUUAUAUCAUAAAUGGUUAUUCUGUUUAUAAAUCCAUUUGUAUCAUAAACAAAUUAUUUUUCGUUUGAAAAAAAAAAUACAAACAAUAUUUAAACAAAUGGACAAAAGUCUAUUUAUGAUCCAUUUGUAAAUUUAAUUUUUUUUUAAAGUGCUAGAGAUUUAGUAAGUUGGAGAGAGCAGAGCUAACAGCAGCCUCUCUCUUAUAACCAUUCGAAGACUAGAGUCAUAUCUGUGGCAUUAAUAGCAUCUUGAUAUGUCACCUCCCUAGAAAAUUUGAACCCAUCCUACAAAAAAGAAUAUAUGCAAGCAAACCACAGCUCCCUCAGUCGUCGGAAGAGUGAUAUCACAUCUUGAAAAUACUCUCACCAUGAAGCUCCAAAUCUAGAAAUGUAAAAGCAAAAAUAGAAAAACACAGUAUUUUCACCCCAGCCCUAGAGACAAGGAGAGUAAACCCACAUCCAAGGCUCGAGGAAGCCAUCCCGUACUUAAAAGGUAUAGGGAAAGGCUGCCCUCAGAAGUAAACAGGUAGAGAUAAAGCUUUAUUAUAAUCUAAUAAUUUGAUUGGUUAUUUAAAAUAUCUAAUUUGAUUGGUUAAUUAUAUUAGUUUUCUAUUAAAAUUUAAACCAAAAUUUUAUUAUAAUCUAAUAUAAAAAAUUAACUAAAAUUUAAACUUCCAACUUAAAAGAUCAUCAAAAGUAUGAAUAUUUUUAAUGCUGAAUAUUUGAGUUUGUGGCUAAAAUUUUUGGAAUUCCCAAUUUCCUUUUGUUAUCCUUACCACAUUACCAGCUGGCAGAGAGCCUUCCUUUUCCGAUUCUCUGUUUCCUUUCCCCAUUCCCAAUCUCCGAUCCAUCCCCAAAAACAACUGACGAGAGAUCGAUGAUGAUGAAGAUGCCUUGGAGGAGGAAGAGUAGGAGCUUCCAUCUUCAGCUACAAGGGGCAAUUGGUACCAUUCAAUCUCCAUUCCUAUUCUUAUUUACCAAUUAUUGUCAUUCUUCUACUUCCACACUUGAAGAUGCACGCUUCUUGACAAAUAACUUCAAAUCUGCUUCUUUUACCCGCCUUGAUGAUGCCAUUGCUUCCUUUAAUCAUGUAAUUCAUAUGCAUCCUCUUCCUUCUAGGGCUCAAUUUAGUAGAUUCUUCUCUGCCCUUGUGAAAAUGAAACAAUAUCACACUGUAUUUUCCAUGUCCAAAACAAUUGAAUUGGUAGGAAUCUCCCACGAUGUUUAUUCUCUUAGCAUCUUAAUUAAUUGCUUCUGCCACUUACACCUUGUGGAUUUUGGCUUCUCUGUUUUCGGAAAGAUGUUCAAAUUCGGAUUGGAGCCUACCACUGUGACAUUUACUACCUUAAUCAAUGGGCUUUGUAUAGAGAGUUAAAUGGACAAAGCAGUGGAAUUUUUCGAUGAUAUGGUUGCACGUGGUUAUCAACCUGAUGUUCGUACUUUCACUGUGAUAGNNNNNNNNNNNNNNNNNNNNNNNNNNNNNNNNNNNNNNNNNNNNNNNNNNNNNNNNNNNNNNNNNNNNNNNNNNNNNNNNNNNNNNNNNNNNNNNNNNNNNNNNNNNNNNNNNNNNNNNNNNNNNNNNNNNNNNNNNNNNNNNNNNNNNNNNNNNNNNNNNNNNNNNNNNNNNNNNNNNNNNNNNNNNNNNNNNNNNNNNNNNNNNNNNNNNNNNNNNNNNNNNNNNNNNNNNNNNNNNNNNNNNNNNNNNNNNNNNNNNNNNNNNNNNNNNNNNNNNNNNNNNNNNNNNNNNNNNNNNNNNNNNNNNNNNNNNNNNNNNNNNNNNNNNNNNNNNNNNNNNNNNNNNNNNNNNNNNNNNNNNNNNNNNNNNNNNNNNNNNNNNNNNNNNNNNNNNNNNNNNNNNNNNNNNNNNNNNNNNNNNNNNNNNNNNNNNNNNNNNNNNNNNNNNNNNNNNNNNNNNNNNNNNNNNNNNNNNNNNNNNNNNNNNNNNNNNNNNNNNNNNNNNNNNNNNNNNNNNNNNNNNNNNNNNNNNNNNNNNNNNNNNNNNNNNNNNNNNNNNNNNNNNNNNNNNNNNNNNNNNNNNNNNNNNNNNNNNNNNNNNNNNNNNNNNNNNNNNNNNNNNNNNNNNNNNNNNNNNNNNNNNNNNNNNNNNNNNNNNNNNNNNNNNNNNNNNNNNNNNNNNNNNNNNNNNNNNNNNNNNNNNNNNNNNNNNNNNNNNNNNNNNNNNNNNNNNNNNNNNNNNNNNNNNNNNNNNNNNNNNNNNNNNNNNNNNNNNNNNNNNNNNNNNNNNNNNNNNNNNNNNNNNNNNNNNNNNNNNNNNNNNNNNNNNNNNNNNNNNNNNNNNNNNNNNNNNNNNNNNNNNNNNNNNNNNNNNNNNNNNNNNNNNNNNNNNNNNNNNNNNNNNNNNNNNNNNNNNNNNNNNNNNNNNNNNNNNNNNNNNNNNNNNNNNNNNCACUCACCCUAUUGAAAGAAAUGGAGGAAAGUCAGUUGAAGCCUGAUCUUGUGACCUAUUGCAUUCUGAUCAAUGGUAUGUGCAAAGCUGGCAAGAUUAAUGAUGCCAAGGAACUGUUUUCUAGUCUUUUUGAAAAUGGUUUACAACCUAAUGUUCAUAUAUAUAGUGCAAUUAUGAAAGGACUCUGCUGAUGAUGGACUAAUAGACGAAGCAUAUAAGAUUUUUAGAGACAUGGAAAAGGGAGGAUGUUUACCGAAUAAUUAUUCUUAUAAUAUCAUCAUUCAAGGGUUUCUCAGGCAUGAGGAUUUAUCAAAAGCAUCACAACUAAUCAAUGAAAUGGUUGAUAAGGGGUUCUCUGCUGAUGAUGCUACCACAGAAUUGGUAGUACAUUUAUCGCAGAAUAAUAAUUUCAUUCUAAGGCUUUUAAAGGUGCGCAAUGAGGGAUCAACAAACUAAAGUUGUUAUAUCUUGACCAUUCAAGUGUAUCUUAGAGCGGAACUUGGUAAUUACCUUUUCCAAAUAUAAUAGAUAUGUAAUUUAACUAACUUGAAUCAACUGUGAUUCUCUUCCACAAAAUGAAAAUUUCUAAUACUGCAAAUUACCUGUGGUGGAAGCCAUGGUAUGUGUGUGCCCUUCGCUUGAAUUCAGACAUGGACUAGAUCUCUUUGAUAUAAGAUUGUUGAUGAAUGGAGGUCAUGGAUUUCUAAUCAUUAAGUUGCUGGUAAACCCACCAUCUCCGUUAUAAUUUUUUUUUGCUGCUACUACAGUCUUUACUUGAGAGCUCAGUCCUAAAAUUGAGUUGAGAACUAAAACUAAUUGGUUCUAUACUACAAUGCCUAAGAAUCUUUAUCUAUUUUUAUUUUUGUGCCAAAUGACCUUUCAAAAUGCUAUCAUUUCUCUUGUAGGUACUUGCAAGGAUAUGACUACAACUUCACCUUUCUAACCAUAAAGGUAUAAGUAACUCAUUUUUGCUUAGUUAUUAUAAUUUUUAAUAAUAAUGAAACUAAUGAUUAUAAACCAGUGUGCUUUAAUUGAGAAUUGUUUUAACAAUUAUACUACACUAUAAAUGCAGGGCGCAGGAUAUACAGUCCCAGAAUACAAGGUAAGAGAAUUAGUAGACUUCUACCGCUUUUGGUUGGAUGAAAUGUCACUAAAAUUAUAGACAACGGAAAAUGUCAUGGGAAUUGAGGGGAAAAACAAACAUCCUCUUUGUCAAUAUGGUAUAUAACAGAUAUAUUUUAGUGUUGGACCACCAUUUGAGUUCAUAAAUUGGCUCGUGAAUAGACUCGUGAACAUUCUGGUUAAACAAACUGAAAUUAAUAUCAUAAAGAAAUAAAUUCAACCCCUACAUAUACUUUUGUGAGCCUAAUCCAAAUUUAUUAAAGUUUAGCUCUAUAUAUUUUAAUUACUCUUAAAACUUAUAUAUAUUUGGAUAGUUAAGAACUCAUCUUUUAAAUUUGUGAGUUAAUUUGUAUAUAUAUUUUUUUGGUUAAAAUUAUUUAUUUUUAAAUUUAUUAGUUUUAAAUUAAAACUCAUUAUAUAUGUAAAUAAAUCGAAUAUAGACUAAAUUCGAUAAAAACUCGACUAGUCUAAAUUUAUUUGCUAAACUAACUUAGUUUGAGUUUAUUAAUACUCGAGUUCGAAAUGAGUAAAACUUGAAUUCAUCUUGAGUUCGAAAAAAUUUUAAUGAACUAAACUUGAACUCUUCAAAAUUCGGUUAUAUUCGGCUCAUCUACACUCCAAAGUAAAUUUUAAAAAGUGAUUAAAUUACUAAUGAAUUCUAAAUUCAUUGGUAAUUGGCCCAAAAAAUUACUAACUAAUUUGAAAAUUCAUUACUAAACUUUAUCAUCAAAUUAAUAAGUAAAAAAAGUGUUAAAUUUAUCAAUUGAAGCUUUACGCUGGAAAAUCCGUUGGAUAAAAUUAAAAUAAAAUUUCAUAAAAUUUCCACGUUUUUUUACUACUCAUAUUUUUUCCGUUAUUAAUGGAUUUAAUAACAUAUUUUAAAUUCAUUAAUUUUUAAAAAGAGAAAAGACUUUUUUUUUUCUAAAUUUAAUAAUAAAUUAUAAAUUCAUUAGUAAUUCGCGGUUAUAAAUAUUAGACCGGUUCUUCUGGUUUUAUCAUUUAUUUAUCUUAUUAUUUUCUUCUCUUCCAUUUUCCUUCCUCCUCUCAUUAUCAUUUUCCUCCCUUCCUUUCUCUCAUUUUCUUUUUUUUCUAUUACUUUAUUCAGUAUUUCACUCUUUUAUUGCAUAAUUUUUUUUUAUUUUUUCUAUUAUUUUCCUUUCAUCUCUUAUCCUAUUUUCUCUCAUUCUCUUUCCUCUUUUAUUAUUUACUUCCUUCUUCAUAAUUUCCUUUCAUUUUCUCCAUUUUUUCUAUUUGGUUCUUUUAUUUUCUCCCAUUUUCUUUAUUUUCUCUAUAAUUUUCAUUCAUAUUAAUUUUUCUAAUAUUAUUUUUUUCUAUCAUUUUUUUCUAUUUAUAUAUUUUUUAUUAUUUUCUCUUUAUUUAUUUUUUUCUCUAAUUAUUUGUUCACUUUUUUUCAUUUAUCUAAUAAUAUUUUUACUCUACUCUCAUUCUUCAUUCUUUUUUUAUAAUUUUUAUUUUCUACCAUUUUCUUUAUUUUUCUCUUUUUUUCUCCUUUUUUUAUUAUUUUCUCCCAUUUUAUACCAUUUACUUCUCUUAUUUUCACUUUCUAUGUAUUUCUAAUAAAUAUUGGAUACAAAUUUAAAAUUUAGUAAUAAUAAUAAUAUAAUUUUUAAUCUUAUUAAAUUAAUAAACAAUUAUUUAAACUCUCAGUAGAUUUAUUAAAAAAUUGUAAUUUGUUAGUAAUUUAUUAAUGAAUUUCAUGUCUAUUAGUAAAUUAUUUUUCUUUUAAUGUAUUAAUACAUUUAAAAUCUGUUAAUAAUAAUAAUGAAAAUUUUAUUAGUAAAUUCAUUAUUAUUAUUAAUAUACUUGAAAACUGGUGUUAAAAAUUUACUAUCGAGAUUUUUAAUAAUAGAUCUAAUCCAUUAGUAAUAUGUUGGUAAUUCAUUUAUCAGUGAAUUUUUUAUUGAUUACCAUUGAAAAAUUCAUUAAUAAUCUAUAAAUUUUUUUAGUAUUUUUAAAAAUAAAAAUAAAAAUACUAUUUUUAAAUUUAGAUUUUAAGAACUUUUAGUUGAAUAAAUGAAAAUUUAAAACUUUUUGCGACUAUAAUAUUAUCCAUAUUAAUGAACUAGCUAAAUUUUUUUUAGUUUAAUUUAUUCACUAAAAAUAUAGAUAAUAUGUUUAUCACAAUAUAUCAAAAAAUUAAAAAUACAUAUAUGAUUAUUAUUUUAAUAUACGCCGCAGAACCUCCUCUCCGCCUCUUGCAACGCUUCGGACUACCAGGGGAACCUCAGUGACACCGUCGACCAUUUCAGAGCUGCUAUGGAGCCAAUCGAUUCAACAAGCGAGAAAUUCAUGGCCAAGGCGCCCAUUCUUGACUCGAAGACACAAAAUCACAGCUGCUCCUCACCUAAGAUUUGCAUUGGUUGCAACCUCCAGGUAUAAAUUUUGGUUUAUUGGGGUUUGAUCCGAUGAAAUUUCUAUUUCUCUAGGUUGUUUAGAUGUAUAUAAUCUUGUAUUAAGUACUUCCAUUGAUUGAUUCAGUUGAGAUGCUUGUGUUUGGAUGUUACAUAGUUUGAAGCAAUUCGUAUGACCUCCUCAAUUUUACCUGUGAGAGCUGCUAGGAGUUUUAUUUCCUUGAAAAUUGAUUAGUUCCUCAAGACCUCUAAAGAUUGUAUAUAAAUGGAAAGUUGGCAACACUCUCAAGAAGCUCCAGGAUUGCAAGCUUUAUUAUCCUUCUUUCUAGGUUCAUCCCUUCAGAAUCUCACAGAAAUUACUUAGCAUUUUGUCUUUUCAAAUUAGUUGUUUAUUUUUACUUUACUAAAAAUUAUUUUUUCUGCAAUUUGCAUGAUCUAAUUCUAUGAUCUAAUUCUAUGGAGCAGGUGUUACUUUCUCAUUUAUUAGAAUUUACUUUUAUACCAUUACUAUCCCUCAGUAACGGAGCUUAAACUCAUUUUCAAACACUCAUUUUUUUAAUUAUUUUUGAAAUUUGAAAUUUGAUGUUUAUUUUCUUUAUAUGCCCAAUUAUAAAUAUAAAUAAUUGUAUAUUUUGUUGUCCUAUAUUAUGUAAGAUUUCUGAAACAUAUUAAGAUUAAGGUUUUGCCAAAUUUUGAUCAGUUUUUUUUAAUUAGUUAAAAUUUAUUGUGAAAUAUUAUUUUUUUCAGUGAAAUUUUUAAUGGUUUUUUAAUUUAAUAGAAAUUUUAACUUUAAUUUCAAUUUUAAAAAAUUAAAAGAAAGCUAGAUACAAAACAUGGUAUGUAGUGUUUAUGCAGUUCAACCACUCAUCCAUCAUUCUUCUCUAUCAACUUCCCAGAAACCAUAACCCAUCCCCGCUCUACACUUUCGACCCAAAAACAAGAUUCCAUUCACCAUUGUCGCAGCCACCUCCUUCAACCCAUCUCCAACACCGUCAGCUCCCAUAGCAGAAAUCAUAAAUAAGAGAUUAUAAAAAAAGAUUUGGUCAAAAUACAAUUCUAAUUCAUAAUAAAAAUUACAUGUACACAACUAAAUUAUUACAUCAGAACUGUAACAGCCCGCAAACCGGACCAUUACCGGCGCUAGAAUUCAGGUCAACCUGAGGCCGUCUGAACCCGUAGCAAGCCUACUAUGAACUCUGUGUACCUGAUAAAUCCCAUACAUGAUCACACAUUUCCAUAAAAAUUUUGAUUUUUCAUUAAAUUAGCUUGACCUGUACAUGAAUCAUAACUAUAAACAUAAAUAGCCUACUAGAGUCCUCAUCAAAUACUCCAGAGGGUCAUAAAACUGUCAAGCUUAAAGGUUAUCAUAAAGAUAAACAUCAUAAGUCAUAAAAUACUGAUCAUGUACAAAGGGAAAUCAACAUAGUCUUAGGGCUAUGCACAAUUUCUAACUGUUUUCAUUACAUCACUUUUAACAUAAACAUAACUAUUACAUUCCUUCUCAAAGUAUUGUACAUGUCCACUUUCUAUACAUAUUCCUAACUUUACCCUGGCUGAUGCUCUGACUUCCUCUGAGGCCCUAAAACACGGGGUUAGGGAGAGGGGUGAGCUACUAGAACCCAGUGAGUAGAAUCACAUAAAACAUUAAAUACAUAUUCUCAAUGAAAUGCAUCACAACUCAAACAAUUCACAUAACGGAUGGACAUGACCUCAAAACUCCCUAAGCUAUUUGCCCGACCACCAUAAAGGGCACCACAGGACUUCGUAAUGCCUGGCCCAGCCAGGUCUUUCCAUAGGGCUAUUGGGUCGCUUGGGUCCAUCCACAUCAUCAUGAUAUCAUAGAUCAACAUUAUGCAAUGCAACAGCUUCGUGGUUACUAGUGCAGUACAUCCUACUAUAAACAUGGUAUUCAUGAUGCAUGAAACAUGCUAAAACAUUUAUUUACUUAAAACAUAGUUUAGUUCUACUCACCUCUAACAAUAGCUGGACUGUCUCUGAAAAUCUAACUCUGAGGGCCUCCUUGGUUCCUUGGGUCCGUACCUACACAGGCGGACUCAAAUGAGGUACCGAACAUACUCUAACAUAGCUAUGAAUAUCUCUCCAAAAACCCCCUAAAACAUCAUAAACAUGCUUGGAAAAAUUGGCAAAGAAAAGCUGAACAGAGGCCUUUCGGCGGCAGGUUCGGCGGCCGAAACCCCCCUCCAGAGACGAAAGUCACCCACCUUCGGCGGCACUUUCGGCGGCCGAACCUUGCCUCCAGAGACGAAAGUCUACUUUCGGGGGCAGGGUUUGGCAGUCGAAACUGCUUCCAUAAGGGGUUCGGCGGCCGAAAGUCCACUUUCGGCGGCCGAACCUGAGUUUCCCCAGAAGGCAGAAACUCGGGCAACUUCCUCUCCACAGCCUCCAAAACCCUCACACAACCUAUCAACAUGCAAGCCAACUUUCCAAACAUGCAACUAACAUCAAACAUGCAUAAAGGAGCUUAAAAACUCAACUUAAACUCCAAUAAACAUAUCAAAUCAUCAUAGAACAUAAUCUUUAACCUAAUACCACAAAACCUAGAUCCAUGCAUAACUAACCUUAAAACUCCCAAAAUCUCUUAAAAACAUGCUUAAACAUAAAGGGGAGAGGAGGAUCCAUGCUUACCUCUUGAAGAACGAGAGGAUCAAUGGUCCAAACUUGGAGAUGGGUGGAAAACCAAAUCAAAACUCCAAGUUGCUCAACUUUGCUUAUUUUGCUCCAAAACUCUAAAACCAAGUUUAAAACAUGUAAAAACAUGCAAGAUUUGAAGAAAACUCAUAUGAACAUACCAAGGGGAAAGAGAGCUAACCUUUGGCUCAAAACAGGGGGUGCAACACCCCUGUUUUCGGCCAAGGAUGGCUUAAAUAGGUGGCCAGCCGCCUCACCUUCGGCAGCCGAACGUGCAUGCGAAACCAUGCAACCUUCGGCGGCCGAAAAUGAGCUUCGGCGGCCGAACCUGGGAAAAUUCCCUUGGCCUUUUUCUUUUCCAAAACUCAACUUUCUUAGCUCAAAACAUUAAAACCAUGAUAAUCAUAUGAGAAAACAUGUAAUUUACCCUUCUAGCAUAACCCGUCAUCUUGUGAAAUUCCUAAUUCCACAGAGAACCCGCCCAAAAGGUACGGAUUCCAAUGCCGGAGUCUAGCCGGGUAUUACAAGAACUAUAUUAAACAACUCUACUAAUCUCCCAACUAAUUUUGACCCUAUAAAUCUAGAAUUAUGAGAAAGAAAUAAACUUAUAAGAGCCUAAUAAGCAGAAAUAUAAUUAUAAAAUAAUUUAAUAAAAUAUAUGACCGUAUAAAUGUUUCACAAUACAGACAAUUCACAUUAAGAUUUGCUAAUUAAGAAAACAUAUUUUGAUUUUUUAGGUUAGUUUUGAAGAUAAGAUAGAGAUGAUGUUCUUGAAUUUUUCAAUUUUAAAAAUUUAAAAAUAUUUUAAUGGAUGACCAUUUAAUAAAGUUAUGUUUCAAUUAUUGAUUUGAAUUUAAUUUGCUUAAAAUGAUAAUAUAUAGGAUAAUUAUACCAAAAUUGAAAGUUAAGGGGCUCGAUUGGACCUAAAAAAUUUUAAAGAACUUAAUUUACUUUUGGUUAAUAAUUAAAGGGUUAAAAUUAGCUUUUUGCCUAAAAGAAAUUGGGCAGGUUUAUUUCCUUAGAAUAGGAGCAGGCAUUCAAAGGGGAAUUACAAUUUAUCACUCCAGCAAUUAUGAAUGGGUAGAAGAUUGUAAAAUUUUAGAGCGACAAACAUGUAGAAUGAAUAUGUGAGAUAGAGAAAUGUACUGACAAGGAGUGUAUUUGAAAUGAAUCAUUGAUUUCAAUAGAUUAAGAGUUUUGUUAUGAGCAAAUAGAAAAGAUAUAGUCUAAACUUUAUUUCUUUUAUGAAAGAUAAUAUUUAUUAGUUUAAUUUUCAAUUUGAGAUGAGUUUUUUAGAAUAGAUCCUAUAUCUUUGAUAAAAAAAAAAAAAAAUCCAACCUCUAAUUUUGAUACAAUGAAGGUUGACGUUGAGAAUUAACUCAAAACUAAUCUAAAAAAUGUCUAUAUAAGUACAAUUCUUAGAGGUGCCUUGGAAAUUCUAGAAUGUAGAGAUAUUAAGUAGAAUAGGUUGCACGAUAGGAAACUGUGAAGAGGGCAGAGUGGGUUAUGCAAGAAUAUUAGUAAAAUGAACUUGUUAAGGGCUGUUAUUUGAAGCUGUUAUUCUAAAAGAUGCCUCCAUUCAUAAAUCACAUGUUGAGAGAAUUGAUGACUACUCUCAUAGUGUAGAAACUUUAGACAUCAUGAAUUUCAGUGUAAGAAAAGAUACAAGAGAUAAAUCUAGCAAUUUAAGAAUAAAAAAUAGAUGUAAAUAAGGGUAACAAUGUUGAAGAGGUGGUAAUCGGUGGCAGGGAAUAUAAAUGAAGUAAAAUGAAAGAGGAGAGUGGUGGGAAGUGGGAAAGGAAAAGAGAAGAUAUAUAGUCUCACAAGAGAAAAUUAUUAAUUAUAUAAUAUUAUAACAGAGAGAUUGGAGAGCAUUUUAGUUUUUUUUUUCUUUAUAUAUAUAUAGUUUAUGCAAAUUGAUUCGAAAAGUUUAACGUUUUAAUCUAAAUUUUUUAAUUUUAGUUUAGUUAGUUUAAUUUUUACAUUCUUAUGUAAUUUUAAUUGACUUAUCAAUUUUUAAAUUUUUGGUAUAUCACAUAAUAUAUUAUUAUUAUAUAAAUUAAUGAUUAAAUUAUCAAAAAACCUAACAUUUACAUUAUUUUGUAUUUUAAUUCAAAUGUUUAAAUUUUGAUUUAAUUGAUCCAAUAUUUAUAUUUGAUUGUAAUUUUAAUUAAUUUUAAAAAUCAAAAUAUAAGAAUUCGAAUAUCAAAUGUAAUAUUUUAUUAUCUUUUAAAUAUAAACUAAUUCAAAUAAUAUUAAUUCACAUUUAAUUAUAGUUAAAUUAUAUAUUUUAUUUUAAAGUUAAUAAUAAUUUAAUAAUUAAAUAGGCUGUCUAUAUGGAUAAAUUUUAUUUUGCAUUCAUAAUUAUGAAGAAUUUAUAAUAGAUAUAUUAUUUUUAAUUAUUUUAUAUAUAUUGUUAUUUAAAUUAAAUAAUAUAUUUAUUUAAAAUUUAAACUUUUAAAUUAAAAUGUGAUGAUAUAAAUAUUAGAUUUUUUUAAUUAAUUAAUCAAUUAAAAAAUUAUAAUAAUACACGUGCCGAUUAAAUAAUUAAAUUUAAAAAUUUACAGAUGGAAUAAAAUUACAUUAAAAAUUGUAAAAAUUGAGUUAAUUAAAUUAAAAUUAAAAUAUAAAUACCUGUAAAUGUUAAAUAUUUUUAAGUCAAUUAACCUAUAAUUUAUUUUAUACAUGUCUAUAAAUAAUUAAGAAUCUAUUUAUUAUUUAAAUUGUCAAAACUACAUUUGCAUAGAUUUAAUAAUUAUAUAGUUAUUUUAUUUUAUUAUUAUUUAAAAUAUUUAAUUUGAUUAGUUAGUUAUAUUAUUUUCUAUUUAAAUUAAAUUUAAAAUUUCUUAUAAUCUAAUAUAAAAAACUAACUAAAAUUUAAAACUUCCAUUUAAAAGAUCAUCAAAAGUAUGAAUAUUUUUAAUAGUGAAUAUUUGAGUUUGUCGCUAAAAUUUAUAUAUUAUAAAUUUACAUUAAUAUUAUUAAUAAUAAAAUAAAUAACAAAUAAAAUUUAAAAUGCAAAAUAUAUUUAGUGAAUUUAACAUUUCAAAAUUUUAUUAUUUUGCAAUAAUUUAUAUUAAUUUUUUAUGAUAUUAAUUAAAUUUGUAAUAUUAUUCAAAUAAAAUGUUAAAAUAAAAAUGUGCUAAACAGUUCUCAUGAGAGUUAGAGUUAAGCUUUGUAAAAAAAUUAAUUUUUAUUAGACUAAAAUAAAGUAAUUAAUAAUAAAAAAAUUAUAUAAAGUUAGUCAUUUUAAAUUUCUAAUUAUAUUAGAGUAAAAUUAAACAAUAAACUUUUUUUUCUCAUCUAUAUUAUACACAAUUAGACUAUAAUAAUAUUUUAAAAAAUGUAUAUUGCUAAUUAUUUAUUAAAUAAGGAAUAUUGUUUAAUAAAAUAAAAAUCAAUAUUCUACAAUUAUAUUAAUAAAUUUUAUUUAAAAAAAUAAAAUUAACAAAAUUAAUUAAUUUUUAACUAAAUUUAAUUAAAUAUAAAGUAAUGUUAUAAUAAUUUAAUAUUAUUAUUAAAUUUGGAUCAGGCCUAACUCACUCCAAAAGCUAGCUCAAGAGGGAGGAUUGUCUAUGACCCUUAUAAGGGGCACAUUAUCCUUUUCCACAACCGAUGUGGGAUUCUACAACCGAUGUGGGAUUCUACAACCGAUGUGGGAUUCAACACACCCCUCUCACGCCCAGAAUUUUACUGGUGCGUGACACAUUUAUAGGAGGCCCAAUAUCGAAUGGGGAGGCUCUGAUACCAUAUUAAAUUUGAAUCAGGCCUAACUCACCCCAAAAGGUAGCUCAAGGGAAAGAAUUGCCUAUUAUUCAUAUAAGGGGCACAUUACCCCUUUCCACAAUUGACGUGGGAUUCAACAAUUAUAAUAAUAUAAAAGAAAAUUUAUUUAGUUAUUCAAAAUGAAUUUAAUACAAUAUUGUAUACAAAAUUAAUAUAAAAAUUUAUUUAGUUAUUCAAAAUGAAUUUAAUACAAUAUUGUAUACAAAAUUAAUAUAUAUACAAUAUUAACGUACACAAUAUCUGGAAAUAUGAAGUUAAAAAAAAUUAUGAAAAAUAAAUUUAAAUUUUUUUAAAAUUUUAGGCUAAUUAAACUAUAUAAUUUUAUUAAAGGCUAAAUAGAUUCUAACUUAAUAUUAUUUUUAUAAUUUAAAACAUUAAAAAAUUUUAUAUUUUAAUUAUUAUAAAAUUUUUUAAAAAUAUAUAAAUAUAAUAAAUAAUUUUUAUAAUUAUAAAAAUAAAUUUUUAUUAUAUAAAAAUUAUUUUUAUUAUUAAAAAAUAAUAUUAUAUUAUUAAAAAAAUUAUAUUACGUUAGAUUAUGACUUAUUUGAUUCUUAGCAAUAAUAUAUAGACUUAAUUGAUUCAAAAUUUUGAAUUAAGAUUAUUUGACUCUUAAAAAAAGGUAGAGGCUUUACCAGCUGGCAGAGAGCCUUCUUUUUCCGAUUCUCUAUUUCCUUUCCUCAUUCCCAAUCUCCGAUCCAUCCCUAAAAACAACUGACGAGAGAUCGAUGAUGAUGAAGAUGCCUUGGAGGAGGAAGAGCAGGAGCUUCCAUCUUCAGCUACAAGGGGCAAUUGGUACCAUUCAAUCUCCAUUCCUAUUCUUAUUUACCAAUUAUUGCCAUUCUUCUACUUCCACACUUCAAGAUGCACGCUUCUUGACAAAUAAUUUCAAAUCUGCUUCUUUUACCCACCUUGAUGAUGCCAUUGCUUCCUUCAAUCAUGUAAUUCAUAAGCAUCCUCUGCCUUCUAGGAUUCCAUUUAAUAGAUUCUUAUCUGCCCUUGUGAAAAUGAAACAAUAUCACACUGUCCUUUCCAUGUCCAAAACAAUUGAAUUGCUAGGAAUCACUCACGAUGUUUAUUCUCUUAACAUCUUAAUUAAUUGCUUCUGCCGUUUACAUCUUGUGGAUUUUGGCUUCUCUGUUUUCGGAAAGAUGUUCAAAUUCGGAUUGGAGCCUACCACUGUGACAUUUACUACCUUAAUUAAUGGGCUUUGUAUAGAGAGUAAAAUGGACAAAGCAGUGGAAUUUUUCGAUGAUAUGCUUGCACGUGGUUAUCAACCUAAUGUUUAUACUUUCAAUGUGAUAGUAAAGGGAUUGUGUAAAUUUGGGAAAACAAAUCUGGCUAUUGAGCUACUAAAGGAAAUGGCUGAUAGAGGUUGUGAGCCAGAUGUGACAUACAAUGCAAUCAUUGACACACUUUGCAAAGAUGAGCUAGUUGGUGAGGCUUUAGAGCUCUUCUCUCAAAUGAGGAAUAAGGGCAUUUCACCUAAUGUCAUCACUUACACUAGUUUAAUUCAUGGUGCUUGCAAAUUAGGCCAAAAGAACCAAGCUUUGGCCUUGAUGAAUGAAAUGGUGGAGCAGAACAUAUUACCAAAUGUUUAUACCUUCAGUGUAUUGAUUGAUGCUCUUUGUAAGGAUGGAAUGGUUUCAGAGGCUCAAAAUACAUUCAAUGUAAUGAUUCAAAGAGGUGUAGAGCCUGAUGUGGUCACCUACAAUUCCUUAAUUGAUGGUCUUUGCAUUUCAGACCAAUUCCAGGAAGCUUUGGCCUUGUUGAAAGAAAUGGUGGGGAGGAACAUAUCCCCUGAUGUUUUUACCUUCAAUAUAUUGAUCGACACUCUUUGUAAGAAAGGACUGGUUUCAAAUGCACAGAAUAUAAUCAAGAUAAUGAUUCAAAGAGGUGUGGAACCUGAUGUUGUCAAUUAUAAUUCGUUGAUGGAUGGAUAUUGUCUGCGCAAGCAAAUUGAUAAGGCUAGAAAGCUAUUUGAUCUGAUGGUGACAAAUGAAAUAGCUAACAUUUUUAGUUACAACAUUUUGAUCAAUGGAUAUUGUAAGUGCAAAAUGAUAGAUGAUGCAAAGGAUAUUUUUGUUGAAAUGUCUCAUAAAGGUUUAGUUCCUGGUGUUGUUACUUAUUCUACUCUUAUAGAGGGUAUGUUUCAAGCAGGGAGGCCCCAAACUGCACAGGAGCUCUUUAAGAAUAUGUGCUCUCACGGUCAACAGCCAAAUAUAGUAACCUUCUCAAUUAUGAUUAAUGGCUUGUGUAGUCAGGGGAAUCUCGAUGAAGCACUCACCCUAUUGAAAAAAAUGGAGGAAAGUCAGUUAAAGCCUAAUCUUGUGACCUAUUGCAUUCUGAUCAAUGGUAUGUGCAAAGCUGGCAAGAUUAAUGAUGCCAAGGAACUGUUUUCUAGUCUUUUUGAAAAUGAUUUACAACCUAAUGUUCAUAAAUAUAGUGCAAUUAUGAAAGGACUCUGCCGAGAAGGAUUAAUAGUCGAAGCAUAUAAGAUUUUUAGAGACAUGGAAAAGGGAGGAUGUUUACCGAAUAGUUGUUGUUAUAAUAUCAUCAUUCAAGGGUUUCUCAAGCAUGAGGAUUUACCAAAAGCAUCAGAACUAAUCAAUGAAAUGGUUGACAAGGGAUUCUCUGCCGAUGCUACUACCACCGAAUUGGUAGUACGUUUAUUGUGCAAUGAUGAUCUCAUUCUGAGGCUUUUAAAGGUGCGCAAUGAGGGAUCAGCAAACUAAACUUGUUAUAUCUUGACCGAAUGUGUGUCUUGGAGCGCAACUUGGUAAUUACCUUUUUCAAAUGUAAUAGAUAUGUAAUUUAACUAACUUCUUCAAAUAUCAUUUUUAAUUUCAAUCAGCUGUGAUUCUCUUCCACAAAAUGAUAAUUUCUAACACUGCAAAUGACCUGUGGUGGAAACCAUGAUAUGUGUGUGCCUUUCGCUUGAAUUCAGACAUGGACUUGAUCUCUUUGAUAUAAGAUUGUUGAUGAAUGGAGGUCAUGGAUUUCUAAUGAUCAAGUUGCUGGUAAACCCACCAUCUCCUUUACAAUUUUUUUU
rnacentral:lncRNA from 1 species